GGAGGAUUCUUCCCUUUCUCUAAAUAUUUCUCUCUCAAGACAAGAACUGUAGCGUACAACUUCCGUCAACCAUGGCUGCCGAAUCUGCUUUUGCAAUUCCCAAAGGCCAAGUUGAUUUGAUGGACUUUGUAGACUGGUCUGGCGUCGAAUGCCUUAACCAAAGUGGCAGCAACACUAUUGUCAAUGCCCUCAAACAGGGUUACAGAGAAGACGAGGGCUUGAACCUGGUGAGUGAUGCAGAUGAACAGCUAUUGAUUUACAUACCUUUUAAUCAAGUCAUCAAACUGCAUUCAAUCGUUAUCAAAGGACCUGAGGAGGAAGGUCCUAAAACUGUGAAGCUGUUUUCUAACAAGGAGCACAUGGGAUUUAGUAAUGUUAAUGAUUACCCUCCAAGUGACACAGUUGUUUUAUCUGAAGAUAACCUCAAGGGAAAACCAGUUACCUUGAAGUAUGUCAAGUUUCAAAAUGUUCGCAGUGUGACCAUUUUUAUUGAGGAUAAUCAACAUGAUGGGGAAACUACAAAUGUUCAAAAAAUUGUUUUGUAUGGAUCAACGGUGGAAACAACAGAUAUGAAAGGCUUGAAGAAGAUUGAGGACCACUGAUCCUGCAAAAGAUCAUUAUAAUUGUUCAUCAUUUUAAGAAUUUUGUUUUCUUUUUAACUUCUGUAGUUUACGACAGAAGUAAUUGGAAACUUGAUACACUGGAUAUACCAAAUUACAGUGUGAGCUGUCGCUGCUUUGUUCGAUGCAAUAUGUUACACCCACGAUUCACUACCUAAUUAGUGUAAAUUCUAG
rnacentral:misc_RNA from 1 species